rnacentral:tRNA from 1 species
GGAGAUUGCUGAGCUGUAUAGUACAUGCAUUCUAUGCAUUGGGCCCUGGGUUCAAACCCCAGCAUCACCU